rnacentral:ncRNA from 2 species
AUAUUUUUGUGGGGGGACCAUAUUAGUUUAUCAAUUCAAUAUGGUUGAGAAGGUAGAACCUGACCCUUGGAACCUGUCGGUUAACACCGUUGUAGGGAAGCAAAGUGAUGUAUAUG